UACGUAGGUGGCGAGCGUUGUCCGGAAUUACUGGGCGUAAAGGGUGUGCAGGCGGAUAUUUAAGUGAGAUGUGAAAGACCCGGGCUUAACCUGGGCAGUGCAUUUCAAACUGGAUAUCUAGAGUGCAGGAGAGGAGAACGGAAUUCCUAGUGUAGCGGUGAAAUGCGUAGAGAUUAGGAAGAACACCAGUGGCGAAGGCGGUUCUCUGGACUGUAACUGACGCUGAGGCA
rnacentral:rRNA from 1 species